rnacentral:lncRNA from 1 species
AAUAGUGAGCCCGUUCUGAAAUGAUAGGAAAAGGAAUGGUUCACGCCAUUUCUAUAUGCCUACAAAUACCUCUAAAAUGAAGAGGUUUUCGUUGUCAUAUAGUAUACAACUUCUCUUAAUUUCACCUAAUUAGGCAAGACACCUGAACUAACCAAAUUGUCCAAAUGAUUCUGACAGAAGUGACUGUAAUCUGGAAUGUCCAGGUUUAUGUCAUUAUAUUGUACCUACUCAGGGCAGUCUCCCAUCUCAUCCAGAACAUCAGCAUAUUGAUUUAUUAUAAAGAAUUUAGUUCAAUCAAACUAGGAUUCACUGGCUAACAGAACUCAAGGA